UGGCUCAGGACGAACGCUGGCGGCGUGCUUCAUACAUGCAAGUCGAACGAGAAACUGACUUCGGUCAGUGGAAAGUGGCGGACGGGUGAGUAAUAUGUAGAGAAUCUGCCCUUGAGUGGGGGACAACAGAGGGAAACUUCUGCUAAUACCCCAUAUGAGCUAACUUGAAAUAGUUAUCUUGAAAACUCCGGUGCUCAAGGAUGAGUCUGCAUCUGAUUAGCUUGUUGGCGGUGUAAUGGACCACCAAGGCGACGAUCAGUAGCUGGUUUGAGAGGAUGAUCAGCCACAAUGGGACUGAGACACGGCCCAUACUCCUACGGGAGGCAGCAGUAGGGAAUUUUGCGCAAUGGGCGAAAGCCCUGACGCAGCAACGCCGCGUGAACGAUUAAGCCCUUCGGGGUGUAAAGUUCUGUCAGUAGGGACGAAACUUGACGGUACCUACAGAGGAAGCACCGGCUAACUCCGUGCCAGCCGCGGC
rnacentral:rRNA from 1 species